rnacentral:rRNA from 1 species
AGCGAACGCUGGCGGCAGGCCUAACACAUGCAAGUCGAACGAACCUUUCGGGGUUAGUGGCGGACGGGUGAGUAACACGUGGGAACGUGCCUUUAGGUUCGGAAUAACUCAGGGAAACUUGUGCUAAUACCGAAUGUGCCCUUCGGGGGAAAGAUUAAUCGCCUUUAGAGCGGCCCGCGUCUGAUUAGCUAGUUGGUUGAGGUAAUGGCUCACCAAGGCGACGAUCAGUAGCUGGUCUGAGAGGAUGAUCAGCCACAUUGGGACUGAGACACGGCCCAAACUCCUACGGGAGGCAGCAGUGGGGAAUCUUGCGCAAUGGGCGAAAGCCUGACGCAGCCAUGCCGGGUGAAUGAUGAAGGUCUUAGGAUUGUAAAAUUCUUUCAACGGGGACGAUAAUGACGGUACCCGGAGAAGAAGCCCCGGCUAACUUCGUG